ensembl:lncRNA
GUUGGUUAAGAGGCUGCUGAUUUUCUCCUUGUGUCCAUCACUCCAGCAGUUGUGCUUGGUCUGAAAGGAAUGAAGGGAUUCUUUCCCAGUGGUCACCCAAUGGACAGGAGGUCCACGUGUCUGGUUAAACCACAUCACCAUGACACGACAAGUGGGCCCAAGUUCCUUCAACAAGCAAGUCAAAUCCUGCUACCUAUAAAAACAACCCCAUACCUGGCAGAAGUUCUCUUCGCCCCUGCAGAUGGUGUUGCAGUUGGUGGUGUUGCUUACAAAGAUGAGAUAAAAAUAUAUCAGCCUUGCUACAGGAAGGGCAUUGGCACCAUCUCAGACUCAGACUAUGGCUGGAGCUUUUGGGGUCAGGGGAAGUCUUUCAGCUCUCACUCCCAGAAGCAAAACAGCAGCCAUCAGACAGCCGAGACUGCCAGCCCCCAGCUGUCCCGCAAGAACGACAUGGUGGAGUUCACAGCAAUGCAACUACUCUGCAGAGAUUCUCCCAGGCACUCGGUGCUCCCUUGGUCAUCCCCAGCUUCAGCAGCCAUUCUUCGGAACGUAUUAGUGAAGAGAGAUUUGUUGCCAUGCUGCAUCACACCAUUUUUUUUUCCUCCAGCUAUUAUAUUACUUGCUAGGCUGUUGAAAAGAAGAAGCAAAAAUACAGCUCAAACUACCAGCAUUCUUUGCCACAAACCUGUAUCAACAGCAGCUUGUCCUGGCCGUUGAGCUCAUCUCUCAAAUCUGUAAAGCCUAACUCUGGCAAAUCUGUUCACAGCAUGUUUAGCUUAAAUCCUUCAAGCAUUACUAUUGUAAAUUAGGAAGUAUUCUGAAGUGCCUCAGUGAUACAUUUAACUGGGGCCUAAAGAAACGAGUAAAUAAGAUAUAAGGCGGAAAAGAAUGUGUCCUUGAUUUGAGUGUUUUCCCUGUUGUUUAGGAUAAUGCAUUUUAUCACUGAAUAAUUUCUGAUCUUUGCAAAACACUAUGGAAAUUGCUUGUUGACACAGUGUCAGAGCUGAGAUGUUUAUGUUUUCCUGGUGCUUUUAAUCUGUCGCAAAUCUUUGGCAACAAUAUCUUUGAGGCUGGGGAAAAUGUGUCUGAAAUUGUAUUGACAUUGCAAAUGGAUUUACAAGCUUGUCCUUUAAAAUCUUCUUUCCCCUUUGUGCUUUACUGCUUACAGUAGAGUGGCAAUAUUCUGGAUAACUUCAGAAAUACGUAUAGUGGUUUGAAUGCAAACUGUGUAUUCUGAGACCAAGUUUCCAUCUCAGCAUCACUGCAACCACCAUUUUUGUAUACUGAGAUAUAGGUGAUGCCAUAUGCUAUGUCUGCUAUUUCAUCUCACUGAGUAACACUGUAGACAAACAGAGAACAACUAAGAGCAUCAACAAAAUCAUUUCAUACUAAAGACAGCAUUUCUGUGAUGCAACACGUGGAGACUGUUCCUACUUUUCAUGUGGAAUUUCACAGUACAGCCAUGCAAUAAGGAAACCACUGGGUCGCCAAAUGACUCACUGCAUCACUUGGUAAUAAACAAAUGCUUGC